rnacentral:rRNA from 1 species
AAGUCGCAGGGGAAGCCCCUUUCGGGGGGUGGAGACUGGCGGACGGGUGAGUAACGCGUGGGAAUUUGCCCUGGGGUGGGGGACAACCGCUGGAAACGGCGGCUAAUACCGCAUACGCCCCUAUGGGAGACUGUAGGGGGAAAGCAGCGAUGCGCCCUGGGAGGAGCCCGCGUUGGAUUAGCUAGUUGGUGGGGUAACGGCCUACCAAGGCAACGAUCCAUAGCUGGUCUGAGAGGAUGAUCAGCCACACUGGGACUGAGACACGGCCCAGACUCCUACGGGAGGCAGCAGUGGGGAAUAUUGGACAAUGGGCGCAAGCCUGAUCCAGCCAUGCCGCGUGAGUGAAGAAGGCCUUAGGGUUGUAAAGCUCUUUCACCCGUGACGAUGAUGACGGUAGCGGGAGAAGAAGCCCCGGCUAACUCCGUGCCAGCAGCCGCGGUAAUACGGAGGGGGCAAGCGUUGUUCGGAAUUACUGGGCGUAAAGGGCGCGUAGGCGGACCUUCAAGUCAGGGGUGAAAGGCCUGGGCUCAACCUGGGAACUGCCUUUGAAACUGGAGGUCUUGAGUCCGGGAGAGGAUGGCGGA